GACGAACGCUGGCGGCGUGCUUAACACAUGCCAGUCGAGCGGUAAGGCCCUUCGGGGUACACGAGCGGCGAACGGGUGAGUAACACGUGAGUAAUCUGCCCAUCACUUCGGGAUAACUCCGGGAAACCGGUGCUAAUACCGAAUAUGACCACUUCAGGCAUCUGAUGGUGGUGGAAAGUUCCGGCGGUGAUGGAUGAGCUCGCGGCCUAUCAGCUUGUUGGUGGGGUAGUGGCCUACCAAGGCUUCGACGGGUAGCCGGCCUGAGAGGGUGACCGGCCACACUGGGACUGAGACACGGCCCAGACUCCUACGGGAGGCAGCAGUGGGGAAUAUUGGACAAUGGGCGAAAGCCUGAUCCAGCAACGCCGCGUGAGGGAUGACGGCCUUCGGGUUGUAAACCUCUUUCAGCAGGGACGAAGCGCAAGUGACGGUACCUGCAGAAGAAGCACCGGCCAACUACGUG
rnacentral:rRNA from 1 species